rnacentral:rRNA from 1 species
AGCAGCCGCGGUAAUUCCAGCUCCAAUAGCGUAUAUUAAAGUUGUUGCAGUUAAAAAGCUCGUAGUUGAAUUUCGGGGUUAGUAGAUUGGUCAUGCCUCUGGUAUGCACUGGUCUUACUGAUUCCUCCUUCCUGAUGAACCGUAAUGCCAUUAAUUUGGUGUUGCGGGGAAACUGGACUGUUACUUUGAAAAAAUUAGAGUGUUUAAAGCAGGCAUACGCUUGAAUACAUUAGCAUGGAAUAAUGAAAUAGGACGUUCGAUCCUAUUUUGUUGGUUUCUAGGAUUGACGUAAUGAUUAAUAGGGAUAGUGGGGGGCAUUAGUAUUCAAUUGUCAGAGGUGAAAUUCUUGGAUUUAUUGAAGACUGACUACUGCGAAAGCAUUUGCCAAGGAUGUUUUCAUUAAUCAAGAACGAAAGUUAGGGGAUCGAAGACGAUCAGAUACCGUCGUAGUCUUAACCAUAAACUAUGCCGACUAGGGAUCGGAUGAUGUUAAUUUUUUAAUGACUCA